GCCACGGGGCGUGCCCGUUGCCGGUGGCUGCAAUGCGACAGUGCCCGAGGCUGUGGCUAAGUGCCGUGUCGCCGCGGUGAGCGCGUCUGCAAAGUCCAUGAUGCGCUCAUCCAGGGCAUGGACCUGCGUAUUGCGGGUUAGGAGAGGCGACCAAAGGGAGAGAUGGCCAAAGGAUGCAGCAACCACGGUCACCCCCUUCGGUGUUGAAGCUGGCCUGCUAUUCUGGCAUGGCGCACAGGUGUACGGUUAGUAAAUGCGCCAGGAAUUGUUAGUUAGUGGUAGAUAUUUUGCUGGCUUCCUGAGGAAAGAACUUGUGCUUCACGUACCUCUUCUGCCCUAUCCUGACACAUCCCUCCCUCCCCCCACCUCCGUACCUUCGUCUCCAGCACCUCCAUCAUGAACAGCAGGGCCCCCGUAUCCAGCGGAGGCUGGCCCAGCUGCCGAACCACCACACCAGAACCCCGCUGCUGGGUAUACGCUGCUGGGCCAGGCAGGUUGUCGUUCAGGACUGCAACCAGCUGGCCUUGCUGUAUUAAACACACGGACAGCAUGAAAUGGAUGUGGGGUGGGGAAUUAACGUGCCAAUUGAGGAUAAUGAUGGGGGUGUGGGCGAGAGCCCCAUCGGCCAGGCGAACGGAUGAGGGAUAACGGAUGAAGAGAAGAGCCAUACGUUGAGGGAUGAGCAAUCCGUGGAUGUUGCUUGGGAGCUAAGGGUACUUUCAGCACGGAGGAGAUGGUGGCACACGACCAUACCCAGGAGGUCAGCCUUCCACCCACACCACAACAGAACACAUAACCCCACCCCUUACGGCUCCCUCCCUUUCCCUUGGCUCUGCCGCUCAACCCAAACCAAUGCAGCAUCAAGAAAUACACGGUACAACACUGCGAUGUGUCAAGACCACGAGGCCCCAGUCUGGC
rnacentral:lncRNA from 1 species